GUUUAGAUAGCUUAUUUAAAGCAUAGCACUGAAAAUGCUAAGAUGGACCUUAAAAAGUCCUCCAAGCA
rnacentral:tRNA from 1 species